rnacentral:rRNA from 1 species
CACAUGAUUAAAGGUAUUCCGGUAGACGAUGGGGAUGCGUUCCAUUAGAUAGUGAGCGGGGUAACGGCCCACCUAGUCUUCGAUGGAUAGGGGUUCUGAGAGGAAGGUCCCCCACAUUGGAACUGAGACACGGUCCAAACUCCUACGGGAGGCAGCAGUGAGGAAUAUUGGUCAAUGGGCGCAGGCCUGAACCAGCCAAGUAGCGUGAAGGAUGACUGCCCUAUGGGUUGUAAACUUCUUUUAUAAAGGAAUAAAGUCGGGUAUGUAUACCCGUUUGCAUGUACUUUAUGAAUAAGGAUCGGCUAACUCCGUGCCAGCAGCCGCGGUAAUACGGAGGAUCCGAGCGUUAUCCGGAUUUAUUGGGUUUAAAGGGAGCGUAGAUGGAUGUUUAAGUCAGUUGUGAAAGUUUGCGGCUCAACCGUAAAAUUGCAGUUGAUACUGGAUAUCUUGAGUGCAGUUGAGGCAGGCGGAAUUCGUGGUGUAGCGGUGAAAUGCUUAGAUAUCACGAAGAACUCCGAUUGCGAAGGCAGCCUGCUAAGCUGCA